rnacentral:rRNA from 1 species
GACGAACGCUGGCGGCGUGCUUAACACAUGCAAGUCGAACGGAAAGGCCCUGCUUUUGUUUGGUUCUCGAUUGGCGAACGGGUGAGUAACACGUGAGUAACCUGCCCUUGACUUUGUGAUAACUUCAGGAAACUGGGUCUAAUACCGGAUAUGAUCUCCUGCUGCAUGGUGGGGGUUGGUAAGUUUCGGCGGUUGGGGCUGGUCUCGCUGCUUAUCAGCUUGUUUGUGAGGUAGUGGCUUACCCAGGCUUUGACGGGUAGCCGGCCUGAGAGGGUGACCGGCAACAUUGGGACUACGAUAGGGCCCAGAAGCCAACGGGCGGCAGCAGUGGGGAAUAUUGCACAAUGGGCGGAAGCCUGAUGCAGAAACGCCGCGUGCGGGAUGACGGCCUUCGGGUUGUAAACCGCUUUCGCCUGUGACGAAGCGUGAGUGACGGUAAUGGGUAAAGAAGCAACGGCUAACUACGUG